CUGGCCUCGGUGGGGACUCAUUAAAAUAUAGGUUAGCAGCUCUGGCAGCACCGUGAGACAGCCUUGGCCCAGACGCCAGGAUGGUCGUGGAGACCGUGGAAGGAGUCUUGGGAACUGAACAUCAUCACCACAGAGGCGAGAAGGAAGACAAUCGUGCUGGGGGCAAAGGCCCGUGCAACACCACUGGGACUCCCAGAAAGCCUCGGAAGGUAAUGACUUAACCAUCCGUCGUGAGUCCCAGGGCUGCAGAACAGAACACGUUUGUCCUUUAAAUGCUAUUGGGAAAGAGAAACCAGAAGAAAAUUGGAAAAAGCAGUUUUCCCAGGCUUCAGUCCUUGCAGGCCUUUACUUACAAAAGCAGGCGGUUCCCUUGGGAAGUAUGCAUCCAAUUAAUCCUCCAAAUAAAUACUUGGCUUCAACAGAGAAAAUAACCUCGCCGUAUUCAGCACAGACUUGAUGGCACCUGCCUCAGGCCCUUGAAUGAGCAGGACUGCUUUGCCCAUUGGGCACUGCAGCAGAGCGCCUAGGCCAGGGCCAAGAACACUUCAAGAGCAGAUUAAAAUGCCUGAGACUUGGGGAGAAAGAAAGAAAGAAAUGUUCUGCUUCCAAAAUAUGGAAAUUGUGAAAUCAGUAUUUUAAAAUGUUUAGUGACAUCGCUGCAAAUUAUACCAUAUGUCAACUUCAUCAAAGAUUAAAUUUGAUCUUCAUAAGCAUCUCAUUACAAUUAAAAACAAUUUGUGGAUUAGAUUUUCUUACUGAAAAUUUCUCAUGGGUCCCCAACGAUUGCUGAGAAAUCAUAACCAAGCGUGAAUCAGAGGAGUUGAUUGUAGAAAAUAAUUUUAAAAGCCAAGUUAGAAAAUGCCUUUCAAAUGUUUUGGCCCCAAAUUCUGGUGGAUACAAAUAUUUUUGAUAACGAGUGGGCGGAGCUGCCUAGGAUUUAAGAGGCUCGCCAGGCGGCCCUGUGGUUGGGUCAUUUCACCUCCCUGGGAUAUUCUUUAAUUGUCUCUAUAAUCCAUGUUCUUUCUCUGACUUAAAUUUUUGAAGGAAACUUCCCUGCGAGAAGUUUUCCUCGUCCUGCUCCCCUGGUCUCCUUGACUAUCUCUUUAGCAAUCACCCACAGGAGGACCUCGUUUUUGCUUGUGUUACAGACAACUUAUAUUCCUUCAUGUCUAUUUUGAGGGCUUUCUUAAAUCUAUUUUAUGAAUUCCUGUUAUAUUUCUACUAAAGUGAGAGCCUUGG
rnacentral:lncRNA from 1 species